GGCCAGAUCUAAAGCUCCUGUUGGGAAUUACAAUCCCUGCCAUCCUGGUUCUGGCUGUGGUGCUUUAUCUGCUGGGAAAGAAAGUUGCAUCUCUACCAAGGGAACAAAGGGAACAAGUCCAGUGCGACACCAGCAACACUCCUGAAGAUCAUAUUGAAUAUGCCUUGGUGAAUUGGCUGGGAACCUCCAGG